AUUGAACGCUGGCGGCAUGCUUUACACAUGCAAGUCGAACGGUAACAGGCCUUCGGGUGCUGACGAGUGGCGAACGGGUGAGUAAUGCAUCGGAACGUGCCCAGAGGUGGGGGAUAACGCAGCGAAAGCUGUGCUGAUACCGCAUGUGAUCUGAGGAUGAAAGCGGGGGACCAGGCAGCAAUGUUUGGCCUCGCGCCUUUGGAGCGGCCGAUGUCAGAUUAGGUAGUUGGUGGGGUAAAGGCCUACCAAGCCGACGAUCUGUAGCUGGUCUGAGAGGACGACCAGCCACACUGGGACUGAGACACGGCCCAGACUCCUACGGGAGGCAGCAGUGGGGAAUUUUGGACAAUGGGCGCAAGCCUGAUCCAGCAAUGCCGCGUGCGGGAAGAAGGCCUUCGGGUUGUAAACCGCUUUUGUACGGAACGAAAAGGCUCUGGCUAAUACCUGGGGCUGAUGACGGUACCGUAAGAAUAAGCACCGGCUAACUACGU
rnacentral:rRNA from 1 species